UACGAAGGGGGCUAGCGUUGCUCGGAAUCACUGGGCGUAAAGCGCACGUAGGCGGCUUUCUAAGUCAGGGGUGAAAUCCUGGAGCUCAACUCCAGAACUGCCUUUGAUACUGGUAAGCUCGAGUCCGGGAGAGGUGAGUGGAACUGCGAGUGUAGAGGUGAAAUUCGUAGAUAUUCGCAAGAACACCAGUGGCGAAGGCGGCUCACUGGCCCGGUACUGACGCUGAGGUGCGAAAGCGUGGGGAGCAAACAGG
rnacentral:rRNA from 1 species